rnacentral:lncRNA from 1 species
AUGGCGGAUGGAGGACGCCAGCUUCUGCUGGGGACCUCGGCGCUGAACUCCCGCGCGUGCCGGCAGCCACUCUCGAAACGCAGGCCCUUGUUGGCAAGUUCCAGGCCCCCGCUGGGCUACAGGACAGCUCCUGCUCUCCCAGGAGGUCCGUGCGACAGCGUCGUGAGUCUGGCCGGGCCCUCUCAUCUUGACAGGAGGAGAGAGAACAGGCCUCAGCUCCCCCACAGGGCCGGGGCCGGACAGGAGCAGGGCGGGUUGUCGAAAGUCUCCCCAAGUCUCUCCCCCCACCCCUGCCCCAGGUUCACAGCUGAGCCUUGGAGGUCUCCCCAAUUCUCUCCCUCCCCCACCCCUACCCCAGGACCCAGAGCUGAGCCUUGGAGGUCUCCCCAAGUCUCUCCCCCCACCCCUGCCCCAGGACCCACAGCUGAGCCUUGGAGGUCUCCCAGAGUCUCUCCUCCCACCCCUGCCCCAGGUUCACAGCUGAGCCUUGGAGGUCUCCCCAAGUCUCUCCCCCCACCCCUGCCCCAGGACCCACAGCUGAGCCUUGGAGAUCUCCCCAAGUUUCUCCCCCCUCCACCCCUGCCCCUGGACCCACAGCUGAGCCUUGGAGAUCUCCCCAAGUCUCUCCCCCCCAUACCUGCCCCAGGACCCACAGCUGAGCCUUGGAGGUCUCCCCAAGUCUCUCCCCCCACCCCUGCCCCAGGACCCACAGCUGAGCCUUUAAGGUCUCCCAGAGUCUCUCCCCCCUCCACCCUGGUCCCUGGACCCACAGCUGAGCCUUGGAGGUCUCCCAGAGUCUCUCUCCCCUCCACCCCUGCCCCUGGACCCACAGCUGAGCCUUGGAGGUCUCCCAGAGUCUCUCCCCCCCCUCCACCCCAGCCCCUGGACCCACAGCUGAGCCUUGGAGGUCUCCCAGAGUCUCUCCCCCCACCCCUGCCCCAGGACCCAGAGCUGAGCCUUGGCACAGCCUGCCCCUGCCCAGGCUCCUCCACCUGUGCUCACAGCCAGAAUUCACUUGUUCUGCACCCAAAAGGCAAGCACCCCGUUUGGGGAAAGCAUGUUCGACAGACACUGCGUGACAGAUCGGAGUGA